rnacentral:rRNA from 1 species
AACGAACGCUGGCGGCGUGCCUAACACAUGCAAGUCGAGCGGGAAAGUUCCCUUCGGGGAGCGAGUACAGCGGCGCACGGGUGAGUAACACGUAGGUAACCUACCCUGGAGACCGGGAUAACCGUGCCGAAAGGCGGGCUAAUACCGGAUGAGACCACGAGGGCUGCGGCCCGUUGAGGAAAAAGAUGGCCUCUACUUGUAAGCUAUCACUCCGGGAUGGGCCUGCGCGCCAUUAGCUAGUUGGNGAGGUAACGGCUCACCAAGGCCGAGAUGGCUAGCUGGUCUGAGAGGAUGGCCAGCCACACUGGGACUGAGACACGGCCCAGACUCCGUACGGGAGGCAGCAGUGGGGAAUAUUGCGCAAUGGGCGAAAGCCUGACGCAGCGACGCCGCGUGGG